rnacentral:rRNA from 1 species
UAAUACAGAGGGUGCGAGCGUUAAUCGGAUUUACUGGGCGUAAAGCGUGCGUAGGCGGCUUUUUAAGUCGGAUGUGAAAUCCCCGAGCUUAACUUGGGAAUUGCAUUCGAUACUGGGAAGCUAGAGUAUGGGAGAGGAUGGUAGAAUUCCAGGUGUAGCGGUGAAAUGCGUAGAGAUCUGGAGGAAUACCGAUGGCGAAGGCAGCCAUCUGGCCUAAUACUGACGCUGAGGUACGAAAGCAUGGGGAGCAAACAGGAUUAGAUACCCUGGUAGUCCAUGCCGUAAACGAUGUCUACUAGCCGUUGGGGCCUUUGAGGCUUUAGUGGCGCAGCUAACGCGAUAAGUAGACCGCCUGGGGAGUACGGUCGCAAGACUAAA